rnacentral:rRNA from 1 species
UACAGAGGGUGCGAGCGUUAAUCGGAAUUACUGGGCGUAAAGCGUGCGCAGGCGGUUAUGCAAGACAGAGGUGAAAUCCCCGGGCUCAACCUGGGAACUGCCUUUGUGACUGCAUAGCUAGAGUACGGUAGAGGGGGAUGGAAAUUCCGCGUGUAGCAGUGAAAUGCGUAGAUAUGCGGAGGAACACCGAUGGCGAAGGCAAUCCCCUGGACCUGUACUGACGCUCAUGCACGAAAGCGUGGGGAGCAAACAGG